AUUUGAAAUCUGGCGCAAGCCCGAGUUGUAAUUUGUAGAGGAUGCUUCUGGCCAGCGGCCGUUCUAAGUUCCUUGGAACAGGACGUCAUAGAGGGUGAGAAUCCCGUAUGUGACCGGCGCGCAGCCUUUACGUAGCUCCUUCGACGAGUCGAGUUGUUUGGGAAUGCAGCUCUAAAUGGGAGGUAAAUUUCUUCUAAAGCUAAAUACCGGCCAGAGACCGAUAGCGCACAAGUAGAGUGAUCGAAAGAUGAAAAGCACUUUGGAAAGAGAGUUAAAAAGCACGUGAAAUUGUUGAAAGGGAAGCGCUUGCAACCAGACUUCGUAGCGAUGUUCCGCUGGUCUUCUGACCGGUCUACUCAUCGUCGCGAGGCCAACAUCGUCUGGGCCCGCUGGAUAAGACCUAAGGAAUGUAGCUUCCCUCGGGAAGUGUUAUAGCCUGUGGUGAUGCAGCGUGGCUCGGGCGAG
rnacentral:rRNA from 1 species